GGCGCCUGUAGUCCCAGCUACUCGGGAGGCUGAGGCAAGACAAUGGCAUGAACCCGGGAUGCAGAGUUUGCAGUGAGCCAAGAUCAUGCCACUGCACUCCAGCCUGGGUGACAGAGCAAGACUCUGUCUCAAAAAAAAAAAAAAAAAAAAAAAAAUCUAAGAUUUCGGACUCUUCAAUCUGAUAAGUUUCUACCUUAAAGUUCAGAGUCCAAACUACAGUAAUUACAGCAUGCAAAGUGAGUAAUCUAAAUAGACACUAAGUAUAAUGUCCAUGAGUAUUCUCUUAUGAAGCCUGAAUAGCUAACAUUUAUUUAAGAAUAGCUAACAUUUAUGAAAGCUAACAAUUAUGGGAUUACAGGUGCGUGCCACCACACCUGGCUAAUUUUUGUAUUUUUUGUAGAGACGGGGUUUUGUCUCUUAUGUAUGAAAGAAGAAAGAUUAUUCUCAUAUAGCAACGGCUAAGCAAACAUCUAUUGGCUAAUAUAUUGUAGUUGCAGUGUUUGGUCUCGUGCUCAAUGAGAUGCCAUGGAGUUUAGGCCUUUCAUUUCUAUCUUCCCAUCUAUAAAUAAAAAUGAAAUUCCAACAUCAUACUCAGCAAAUACACCUAUAUAAGUAGAACUUAGAAUGUGAAUUUUUGCUGUAUAUUAAACCUGCCAUUUUCUCAGGUUUUAGAUUCAUUCUACUUUGGGGGGCUGGGAUACAAUACCAAAACACAUAAAUAUAUAUGAAGUUGGCACUAAAGGAAGAUAGGGAACAUUUUGGUGUAUUCGGAUCCCUAUGCUUUUGACACUAGCAGGUAUAAAUGAGUACUGAUGGGGUUGCCAGAAGGAAGAGGUUGUGGCCAGUCCAAUCUAAAAGCACUACUUUCAAGGGCCUUCCAUACCAUGUGGAUGAUAAAUAGGACAUUUGUUGUGGCGAUUUUGGGAGGGAGUUUCAAUGGGGCACUAGACCCAUUCAUCUUGACACCCAAGAGGUAAUAAAUGCUGAAGAAAUUGUUCCAGACUUGCAGGGAAUGUGUUACAUGUUAUUAAAGAAAGCAUAUCUUUUUUUCUUUUCUUUUUUUUUUUUUUUUGAGAUAGGGUCUCACUCUUGUCGCCCAGGCUGGAGUGCAGUGGCAUGAUCUCGGCUCACUGCAGCCUCCACCUCCGGGCUAAGCGAUCCUCCAACCUCAGCUUCUUGAUAGCUGGGAUUACAGGUGCAUGCCACCACACCUGGCUAAUUUUUGUGUGUUUUUUUUUUGUAGAGACGGGGUUUUGUCUCUAUGUUUAUGUUGCCCAGGCUGGACUCAAACUCUUGGACUCAAGCGAUCUGCCUGCCUCGGCCUCCCAAAGUGCUGGGAUUAUAGGCAUGAGCCAUCACACCCGGCCACAGCUUUCUUUUUGAGGACAAAGUGAGAUGGCUCAGAGAAGGCCUCUACACUCCAGAUGAUUAGACAGAAUGAAAGAUGGCCACACAGGCGGUAAGAAAUAGGUUGACAGAGGAAAAAAGGGGAGUUGAAACCAUAAUUAACAAGUUGGCUAGAGGGAGACACGACAACCAGAAGUAAUCAUGCCUCUUAAACUAGAGAACAAGUGAGAAACUUCAUUUUAAAUAAUAGAGAUGGGGGUCUCACUAUGUUGCCCAGGCUGGUCUCAAACGCCUGGCUCAAGGAAUCCUCCCACCUUGGCCUCCUAAAGUGCUGGAAUUACAUGUGCGAGCCAGUGUGCCUGGCAAUUCCUGUUGUUUAAACCACACAGUUUGUGGUACUCUAUUAUGGCAGCCCUAGGAAAUGAAUGCAGUAAUUUAUUAGUGACUCUGGAGAGAAGAGUUUAAAAGCCUGUGAGCAGAGGGCAAAUUAGGGGUUAGGAAAUGGAACCACUUCUUUUAUCUAGAGACCUAAAAUCUAAGAAGGUUUCCAUGAAUCCUACUCCAGCUAGAAGAGAAUUUUAUAAACUAUGUAAAUGUAUACUUCCAUUACUAUUUCUUAAUUGAAAAUACUCAAACAAUAGGCCACUUUCUCCUUCAAAAUAAAGAUUCAUGGAUUUAAUUCUUGGCUACGAGAAUUUGCUCAUCUGCCUGAAUCAAACUACAAAAAUAGCCAGAUGUGGUGGCGCAUGCCUGUAAUUCCAGUUACUUGGGAGGCAGAGGCAGGAGAAUCUCUUGAACUCGGGAGGUUGCAGUGGGCCGAAAUCAUGCCAUUGCAUCCAGUCUUGGCAACAAGAGCGAGCGAAACUCCAUCUCCAAAAAAAAAAAAAGAAUGAACACAAGUUAAACAUUUUAUUUAUUUUCUAUUUGGAGUGGUGAAUUUUAUAAAUGUAGCACAGACAGCACGUUUGUAGAGGGCAGGGACUGUAUGUUUCUACAGUACCAUGUACAGUCUAUAGGUAGGUAAGUAAUUAAUAGAUAAUUUCUGAUGAAGAUAAGAUGAAGAGUGACUCAAAAUUCCUGGGUUAGAUCCAGAAUAACCACUUAAAAGCAGCAUUUCUGGCCAGGCACAGUGGCUUACACCUGUAAUCCCAGCACUUUGGGAGGCUGAGGCGGGUGGAUCACCUGAGGUCAGGAGUUUGAGACCAGCCUGGCCAACAUGGUGAACUCUGUUUCUACUAAAAAUAGAAAAAUUCACCAGGUGUGGUGGCACACGCCUGUAAUCCCAGCUAUUCAGGAGGCUGAGGCAGGAGAAUCGCUUGAACCCAGGAAGUGGAGGUUGCAGUGAGCCAAGACUGCGCCAUUGCACUCUAGCCUGGGCAACAAGAGCGAAACUCCAUCUCAGAAAAAAAAAAAAAAAAAAAAGGAAAAAAGGCAGCAUUUCCACUCCCUUCAGUGGAAGGGCUCUACACCUACCCCCUGCCAAAAUCCAUUUCCAGUUUAGUAGAACCUUGUCUGAAGGUGCAAAGUUUAAGAACUGGCUCAACGUUUUUAUUUAUUAUUAUUAUUUUUUGGAGACAGGGUCUUGCUCUGUCACCCAAGCUAGAGUGCAGUGGUGGGAUCACAGCACUCACUGUAGCCUCAACCCCCUGGGCUCAAGUGAUCCUCCCACCUCAGCCUCCCAAGCAUCUGGGACCACAAGCAUGUGUCACUAUACCUGGCUAAUUAAGAAAAAUAAAUUUUUUUUGUAGAGACUGGGUCUCACUAUGUUACCUCAGCUGGUCUCAAACUCCUGGGCUCAAGUGAUCCUUCCACCUUGGCCUCCCAAAGUGUUGGGAUUACAGAACUGGGUCACCAUAUCCAGCCUCCCAACAAUUUUUUUUUUUUUUUUGAGACAGCAUCUUGCUCUGUUGCCCAAGCUGGAGUGCAAUGGCGUGAUCUUGGCUCACUGCAACCUCUGCCUCCUGGGUUCAAGAGAUACUCAUGCCUCAGCCUCCUGAAUAGUUGGGAUUACAGGUGUGCACCACCAUACCUGGCUGACUUUUAUAUUUUUAGUAGAGACGGGGUUUCACCAUGUUGGCCAGGCUGGUGUUGAACUUCUGGCCUCAAGUAAUUUGUCCUCCUUGAGCUCCCACAGUGCUGGAAUUACAGGCAUGAGCCACCACACUCAGUCCUCCCAACGAAUUUAAAGGUUAAAACUUUUGAGUGAUAUGUCAAGAACAGUCUUUGUUCUAGGACCAAUUGUAUUCUGAACUUCUUUCUCUGAAAUAGGAUUUCAAACUACUAGGUGCAGUGAUCACUAGAUCAAAAUUAAUACUGCCUACCCACUAUGGUCCCUAUCUUUCCAUUCCUCUGCAACUCUUAAAAUGUCUCUGACUCCUGUUUAGUGCUGCUUCUGAAGACUCAUGAUAAUAAUCCAGCAUCUAGUCUCAUCAUGAUUCAGUGCUAGUAAGAAUAAUGUUCAAACCCAUCAAAAUUUUUUUUUGUUUUUGACAUGGAGUCUCACUUCAUUGCCCAGGCUGGAGUACAGCGGAGCAGUCUUGGCUCAAUGCAACCUCCAUCUUCCAGGUUCAAGCGAUUCACCUGCUUCACCCUCCUGAGUAGCUGGGAUUACAGACACCUGCCACCCAUGCCUGGCUAAUUUUUGUAUUUUUAGUAGAGAGUGGGUUUCAUCAUGUUGGCCAGGCUGGUCUCCAACUCUUGAUCUCAAGUGACCCAUCCACCUAGGCCUCCCAAAGUGCUAGGAUUACAGGCAUGAGCCACCGUGCCCAGCCCAUCAUAAAUCUUUAAGGAUCUUUCCUAAAUAUGACAAUGCAGACUGUUUAUUGCCAUUCAUUAGGAAGCUUAAUAAUUGGCAAAAAAAGUAUUUGGUGGAAAACCAGAUUUUAAAAACUUAAUUUUUGCAUAAUUACAACUUAUUACUUAAGAAUGAGAGAUUUCAAUUUAAACUGAUGUUUUAAUACAUAUUUCAUAUUCCUAUAAAUAUACAUCUUUUCUGAGAAGGAGUCUUGCUCUGUUGCCCAGGCUGGCAUGCAGUGGCGCAAUCUUGGCUCACUGCAACCUCUGCCUCCCAGGUUCAAGCGAUUCUCCUGACUCAGUCUCCUGAGUAGCUGGGAUUACAGAUGCCCACCACCAUGCCCGGCUAAUUUUUUUUAAUUUUUAGUAGAAACAGGGUUUCACCAUAUUGACCAGGCUGGUCUUGAACUCCUGAUCUCAGGUGAUCCGCCUGCCUUGCCCUCCCAAAGUGUUGGGAUUACAGGCGUUGAGUCAACAUGCCUGGCCUCAUUACUAUUUUUUUAACAGAAAAACUGGCAGAGAAGAUGGACACUAGAGAAUGCUUUUAAACUUGAUCUGAAUCUUUAUAAAUAUAGUUACAGCCAAGGACAACAGAACCUUGGCAUUCUGAUUACAGGAGCUCCAGGGCAAUGUAGUCAGCUUAUAUUCCUAGCUGUCUGAUUAAAUACAUUUAAACACUAGGUUUCUAACAAUAAAUACUACAUUUAGGAUAGUGUUGCCCUCUAGGGGCAGUGAGGGAAAAGAAAUUAGGAUGAAUAAAAGGGUCUUUAAGGUCAGGCACGGUGGCUCACUCCUGUAAUCCCAGCACUUUGGGAGGCCGAGGCGGGUGGAUCACGAGGUUAGGAAAUCGAGACCAUCCUGGCUAACACAGUGAAACCCCGUCUCUACUAAAAAUCCAAAAAAAAAAAAAAAAAAUAGCUGGGCGUGCUCACGGGCACCUGUAGUCCCAGCUACUCGGGAGGCUGAGGCAGGAGAAUGGCAUGAACCCGGGAGGUGGAGCUUGCAGUGAGCCGAGAUCGCGCCACUGCAUUCCAGCCUGGGCGACACAGCGAGACUGUGUCUCAAAAAUAAAAAUUAAAAAAAAAAAUAGCCGGGCAUGGGAUAUGCACCUGUAAUCCCAGCUACUCAGGAGGCUGAGGCAGGAGAAUCACUUGAACCUGGGAGGCAGAGGUUGCAGUGAGCCGAGAUCGUACCACUGUACUCCAACCUGGGUGACAAGAUCGAGACUCCAUCUAAAACAUUUCUGAAUGUCCAAAGUCAUCCAUACUUUUUGAAAAGGUUCCGAAAUGGCUGAUUCAGUAUAAAGCAAUUUUAUCUCAAUUAGCUUCCCAUAGUUACUUCUACUUUUUUGUGAAAUAAAUGGUUAUUUUACAUAAAGAAAAGCAUGUGUUGUUGUGAAAAAUACACAGUAGGUAGAACACUUAGCUUAAAAAAUCCUACAUAAUUAGCUAAAAAAUUAUGACACUUCUAACAUGUUAUAUUUUCUAUAAAUUGAAGAGAGAUUCAACUCCUGAAAUUUUUGAGACAUAUGUACAUAUUUUCUCCCUGAAAGAUCAUUAAUGAUGGUUAUAAAAACUUUUUUUUUUUUUUUUGAGAUGGAGUCUUGCUCUGUCACCCAGGCUGUAGUGCAGUGGCGCCUUCUCGGCUCACUGCAACCUUUGCCUCCCGGGUUCAAGCGAUUCUCCUGCCUCAGCCUCCCCAGUAGCUGGGACUACAGGCACCUGCCACCACGCCCA
rnacentral:lncRNA from 10 species